GGACGCCGAGGGGCCACUUCUGGUGAGCGUUUCGUGAUUAGCACUCGGAACGAGGGGUUCGAUUCCCCUUGGCUCCA
rnacentral:tRNA from 1 species